GACGAACGCUGUCGGCGUGCUUAACACAUGCAAGUCGAACGGAAAGGCCCUGCUUUUGUGGGGUGCUCGAGUGGCGAACGGGUGAGUAACACGUGAGUAACCUGCCCUUGACUUUGGGAUAACCUCAGGAAACUGGGGCUAAUACCGGAUAGGAGCUCCUGCUGCAUGGUGGGGGUUGGAAAGUUUCGGCGGUUGGGGAUGGACUCGCGGCUUAUCAGCUUGUUGGUGGGGUAGUGGCUUACCAAGGCUUUGACGGGUAGCCGGCCUGAGAGGGUGACCGGCCACAUUGGGACUGAGAUACGGCCCAGACUCCUACGGGAGGCAGCAGUGGGGAAUAUUGCACAAUGGGCGGAAGCCUGAUGCAGCAACGCCGCGUGCGGGAUGACGGCCUUCGGGUUGUAAACCGCUUUCGCCUGUGACGAAGCGUGAGUGACGGUAAUGGGUAAAGAAGCACCGGCUAACUACGUGCCAGCAGCCGCGGUGAUACGUAGGGUGCGAGCGUUGUCCGGAUUUAUUGGGCGUAAAGGGCUCGUAGGUGGUUGAUCGCGUCGGAAGUGUAAUCUUGGGGCUUAACCCUGAGCGUGCUUUCGAUACGGGUUGACUUGAGGAAGGUAGGGGAGAAUGGAAUUCCUGGUGGAGCGGUGGAAUGCGCAGAUAUCAGGAGGAACACCAGUGGCGAAGGCGGUUCUCUGGGCCUUUCCUGACGCUGAGGAGCGAAAGCGUGGGGAGCGAACAGGCUUAGAUACCCUGGUAGUCCACGCUGUAAACGGUGGGUACUAGGUGUGGGGUCCAUUCCACGGGUUCCGUGCCGUAGCUAACGCUUUAAGUACCCCGCCUGGGGAGUACGGCCGCAAGGCUAAAACUCAAAGGAAUUGACGGGGCCCCGCACAAGCGGCGGAGCAUGCGGAUUAAUUCGAUGCAACGCGUAGAACCUUACCUGGGUUUGACAUGGAUCGGGAGUGCUCAGAGAUGGGUGUGCCUCUUUUGGGGUCGGUUCACAGGUGGUGCAUGGCUGUCGUCAGCUCGUGUCGUGAGAUGUUGGGUUAAGUCCCGCAACGAGCGCAACCCUUGUUUACUGUUGCCAGCACGUUAUGGUGGGGACUCAGUGGAGACCGCCGGGGUCAACUCGGAGGAAGGUGGGGAUGACGUCAAGUCAUCAUGCCCCUUAUGUCCAGGGCUUCACGCAUGCUACAAUGGCUGGUACAGAGAGUGGCGAGCCUGUGAGGGUGAGCGAAUCUCGGAAAGCCGGUCUCAGUUCGGAUUGGGGUCUGCAACUCGACCUCAUGAAGUCGGAGUCGCUAGUAAUCGCAGAUCAGCAACGCUGCGGUGAAUACGUUCCCGGG
rnacentral:rRNA from 1 species